rnacentral:rRNA from 1 species
GACGAACGCUGGCGGCGUGCCUAACACAUGCAAGUCGUGCGAGAAAGUUCCUUCGGGAGCGAGUAAAGCGGCGCACGGGUGAGUAACACGUAGGUAACCUGCCCCCCAGUCUGGAACAACUAGAGGAAACUCUAGCUAAUGCCGGAUGAGACCACGAUCCCUUCGGGGGUUGCGGCCAAAGAUGGCCUCUACUUGUAAGCUAUCGCUGAGGGAUGGGCCUGCGGGCCAUUAGCUUGUUGGUGAGGUAACGGCUCACCAAGGCUGUGAUGGCUAGCUGGUCUGAGAGGAUGACCAGCCACACUGGGACUGAGACACGGCCCAGACUCCUACGGAGGCAGCAGUGGGAAUAUUGCGCAAUGGGCGAAAGCCUGACGCAGCGACGCCGCGUGGGUGAUGAAGGCC